rnacentral:rRNA from 1 species
GUCUCAGUUCGGAUUGAAGGCUGAAAUUCGCCUCCCAUGAAAGCCGGAAUUGCUAGUAAUGGCAGGUCAGCAUACUGCCGUGAAUACGUUCCCGGGCCUUGUACACACCGCCCGUCACACCAUGAGAGUCGGGAACACCCGAAGUCCGCAGCCUAACCGCAAGGGGGGCGCGGCCGAAGGUGGGUUCGAUAAUUGGGGUGAAGUCGUAACAAGGUACC